rnacentral:lncRNA from 1 species
AGGAGUUCUGAUAAGAGGGGAAAGUGUAGCAUCUUGGCCUCCACCUCCAAGUCCACCCAGGUUAUUUAUAACCACGCUGAGCACAUGGCCACUUCCUUGUGUCUGCGUAUUCAACAUCGCCAGCCGUCAUUUCAGAGGUGCACUGUUAAUUAACUUGGGAGAGGGAGGGGAUCACCCAGAAAGGAGGACUUUCUAGAAACAGCGACGUGGGCCACCAGACUCCCGUGGGAAGCAUUUCCCGCACUAUGGAAUGCAGGGGCAUGGCCCUGCUGUGGCAAGGCAGGCCUACGGUCAGUGGCCUCUCACUGUGGAGCCAAGCAAGCAGGGCCUAGCACAGGCAGGAGGGUUUCAAACACAGCCUACCUGCCUGGCACCCAGAAAGAGCUGCAUACCACCAUUCUUGCCACCAAAGACUGGAUUUCAGGGUUUUGGAUCAAUGAGCCACCAGAAGGAACUGGAGGAAUCAAUACCUGGCCCCUGAGAGGCAGCCCUCGGUGAUGGCCGACCAUAAGAGUGUAUGCUACAAAUCCUCUCUCCCCGAAGCUGCUUCUGGCUACAGCACCUUAGCCCAGGGAUAGACGUGAAACCAGGAUUCCCAGAGGAGGUGUCUGAGACCAGCAGGUGCUCACUGAACAAGUAUGUAAGCAGGGUCUCUCACUGAACCUGGAGCUCACUGAUUGAACAUCCAUCAAGCCUCGGAGUGCACCUCUCCCUGGGUCUGAGUUGGAUUAGACAUCCACCACUGCACCCCACAUUUACAGCAUCCCAUCUCCACAACAGCCAUCUUUUCUCUCAGACAAGGUCUUACUAUGUGGCCCAUGCUGCUUCUGCCUCCAAUCUCUCAGUGCAAUGGCAGAUGCUCACCACUGCACCUUCCUCCUGUUAGAGCUUCUCAUCAAGACACCAGACACCAAGCACCCGAGUCAGUAACCCGAAGCUGGCUGGCACCACAGCAUCUGGUCAGACGCCACACUGGGUGACCUGGUCUCUGGGCACUGAGGCUCUGCUCCGUGACUCACAAGCUCUCUUCCCCAGUCUUCGGGUAGAGGAAGAACACUACCUAACUCUCUAAAAAUGGCCUCCUCACCCCAUGGACAGAGACCCCUGAGGGGCCCCGGAUAUCCCAGUAAGCAUGAGCCACGAACCUGCCAUGUGCGUAGCCCUGUGUGAGAAGUGGAGGAAACACAACAAAACAAGUCUCAGCCAGCUUCAGAAAUGUAUUCAGUUCAGCUACUCACUCAGUACAGUGUGCACGUAGCGAGCACCUCUGUGCACUGAGCCCAGUUCAUUCACUGUAAACAAACCAACAAGACCUCUAUUCUCAAAAGAAAAAAAAAAAAAAAACCCUCACUUUGUCAUUGGAUCUCUUCCAGGAAGAAGAGAAUGAAGACUGCUUCUAGGAGGCGACAUCUCCAUCAGAGCACAUAAGGUCAGGAGGGGACAUCUCUGUUAGAGCAUAUUAGCAUGUCAGGCAACAGUGGCAGUUACAUGGUGCUCACAGAGCCAUUGGCUGCAGAAAGGCAACCUCCAGCACACA